AGAGUUUGAUCAUGGCUCAGAAUCAACGCUGGCGGCGUGCCUAACACAUGCAAGUCGAACGCGACUUAGGCUUCGGUUUAAGUUGAGUGGCGAACGGGUGAGUAACACGUGGGUGACCUACCUUCGAGUGGGGGAUAACGUCCCGAAAGGGACGCUAAUACCGCAUAACAUCCUGCCUUUGAACAGGUGGAGAUCAAAGCCGGGGAUCGCAAGACCUGGCGCUUGAUGAGGGGCCCGCGCCUGAUUAGCUAGUUGGUGGGGUAAUGGCUCACCAAGGCGACGAUCAGUAUCCGGCCUGAGAGGGCGGACGGACACACUGGGACUGAGACACGGCCCAGACUCCUACGGGAGGCAGCAGUGGGGAAUUGUUCGCAAUGGGCGCAAGCCUGACGACGCAACGCCGCGUGGAGGAUGAAGGUCUUCGGAUUGUAAACUCCUGUUGCUCGGGACGAAAAGCUUCGACCUAACACGUCGAAGUCUGACGGUACCGAGUGAGGAAGCCCCGGCUAACUCUGUGCCAGCAGCCGCGGUAAUACAGAGGGGGCAAGCGUUGUUCGGAAUUACUGGGCGUAAAGGGCGCGUAGGCGGCCUGCUAAGUCGAACGUGAAAUCCCUGGGCUCAACCCAGGAACUGCGUCCGAUACUGGUUGGCUUGAAUCCGGGAGAGGGACGUGGAAUUCCAGGUGUAGCGGUGAAAUGCGUAGAUAUCUGGAGGAACACCGGUGGCGAAGGCGACGUCCUGUACCGGCAUUGACGCUGAGGCGCGAAAGCCAGGGGAGCAAACGGGAUUAGAUACCCCGGUAGUCCUGGCCCUAAAC
rnacentral:rRNA from 1 species